AGAGAAUUAGCACCGGCUAACUCCGUGCCAGCAGCCGAGGUAAUAGGGAGGGUGCAAGUUUUGUCCGGAUUUAGUGGGUAUAAAGGGUGGGUAGGCGGCCCGUUAAGUCGGGGGAGAAAGCCCGCAGCUCAACUGCAGACAUGCCCUGGAUACUGGCUGUCUUGAGUCCAGGAGAGGUGGGCGGAAUGGAGGGUGUAGCGGUGAAAUGCAUAGAUACCAGGAAGAACCCCGAUAGAGUAGGCAGCUGGUUAGUAAGUUACUGACGGUGAGGCAAGAAAGGGGGGGGAACGAACU
rnacentral:rRNA from 1 species